GACGAACGCUGGCGGCGUGCUUAACACAUGCAAGUCGAACGGAAAGGCCCUGCUUUUGUGGGGUGCUCGAGUGGCGAACGGGUGAGUAACACGUGAGUAACCUGCCCUUGACUUUGGGAUAACUUCAGGAAACUGGGGCUAAUACCGGAUAGGAGCUCCUGCUGCAUGGUGGGGGUUGGAAAGUUUCGGCGGUUGGGGAUGGACUCGCGGCUUAUCAGCUUGUUGGUGGGGUAGUGGCUUACCAAGGCUUUGACGGGUAGGCGGCCUGAGAGGGUGACCGGCCACAUUGGGACUGAGAUACGGCCCAGACUGCUACGGGAGGCAGCAGGGGGGAAUAUUGCACAAUGGGCGGAAGCCUGAUGCAGCAACGCCGCGUGCGGGAUGACGGCCUUCGGGUUGUAAACCGCUUUCGACUGUGACGAAGCGUGAGUGACGGUAAUGGGUAAAGAAGCACCGGCUAACUACGUG
rnacentral:rRNA from 1 species